UGGACCAAAGAUGAGAGUGUUCAUGAGCAAGAAUUAUGAUUAAUCCAAUUCUGUGCAUAUAAGGUCUAAA
rnacentral:snoRNA from 1 species